AUAAUGUCAGUUCAUUCAUGUAUUCGCGACACAUGAUUACGUUCGAUUUCAUUGCAAUUCUUGCACUCCUGCACAAGUUAUUUCAUAAUUAUCAUUGUAACUUGUCGCAAUAUUGUAAAAAUUGAUAAACAAUUUUCAAUAAAAACACGAUAACCUGAGUCUUCAUGAAAGAAGAAUACCACCUACUGUAAUUUAGACUUGCAGUCGAUACGUUUACGAAUUACGAUAAAACGAACCCAAAAAUACGAGUCACGAAUGAAAUCAGAUAUUGGGCUGGUAAAAAAACAAGGUGAAUUGAUUUAUUUAUUGUUGCUGCUUUAUAAAAAUCGCUUUACAGAUGGGGAAUAACUGAAUACCUAAUUCAGAAUUUGUUUAAAUUAUUGUACAUGAGUGUACGGGAUAUAUGUGUGGCUAACCAUGAUAUGAUUUGACUCGAAGGACCAGCUCUCCCAACUGAAAUGAUCAAUCUCGCGAGCAACACCAAAAUUGUCUAUAAUAGGUAGAUAACUGUUCACCUUAAUUAGUCGCAACAGUUGACCAAUUUUUCAUAAAAAAAUUAGACACCAAGAAGUCUUUAAUGUUAUGUUUAAUAACUCUCAUUUGGAACUACUAAUUAUUUACAAAGUGUACAAGGAAUUUGGUUGAAGGUGAUAGGUGGAGGAGCAUAGCCACUAUGCUCCUCUGUCCUGAGAAUUUUAGUGGUAAUAAUGAACAAAAUGUAACUUCACAAAAUUCAGAGGCUAAAAUAAUAGGAGUGGUUAGAAACAUUGGGAACACAGACCAAAUAACCAAAAAGCAAAAAUUUUUCUGUUAACUUUCUUAAAUCUGAAUCCCAUGGAUUUUAAUACUCGAUGUAAAGUAUUUAAACUUGCUGUAUAUUCCAGAUGUUCUUUCGCAAAAAUAAAUAA